AAAAGCAGCAGCUUCAAUAACUAGUUGAACAGUCUAGAAAACGUCAGAUCUAUCGACUCCAUGGGUAUUUUCCAUUUUUCGCCUGAACUAGCACUGAUUCACAUCGCCCGGUUAUUUAAUAAUUGAAUAAUGCACUAUUAAGCCGGCAACUUCGUAUUCAAAUGGCCGUUGCUGUGUGUAGUUAGUGCGUUGUGUGCGGUGGGAAUGAUGACGAAGCCUGAGAAAGUGGCUCACCAUUGCUGCUCCGCUCCGCGCUGCUCGGCUCUGCUCUGCUCCCAAUGGCCGUUUGCUUUCGCCUUAUCUAAUCAACAAGUUUCUUGACUUUUAUGAGCCAGCACAAGCUUUGAACCCUGCAAAAGCCAAAGAGCAAAAUAAAAGAAAAACAAGGCAACCGAAAUGCGGUGUGGCAGCAGAUGGCGGCGACUGCUGCUUGAUUGAGGUGCAACAAUUUGUCUGCAAUUGGAGGCGCAACAGCAGCAGCAACUUCGGCCCAAAAAUACAAUCGAGUGUGCCUGGCAAAAGCAGUCGGACGGGUUUGCCUCCCCGCGCCACCGCGGCCAUUCCCAUUCUGAAACCCACUCCCAUUGCCAGUCCCAUUCUCAUUCCUGAACCGCUUCCUCCAUUAAGCGCUCCAAGUGACCGGCCGGUCUGCAGCGGAUUCCGAUAUCCAAAGGCGGGCCGAACAUGCACAGCCAUUUCUUCGUGAGUCGGAGUUGGUUUCAUUUCGUAUUCCCUGCACUCGCUCCCUUGUCGCAGUCGACGUUCCAGUCUCAUUUUCAGCCAGGAAGUUCGUUGUCGCCUGCUGUCGCCCCUGCCACGCCCCCUUCCUCGGCCGAGUCCCCCCAUUUGCUGCAGUACCUUUCCACACCCCCUUGGCUACACAGGGAGAAACGUGGCUCACUUCGUUUUAGACCAGUAACUCAAUAACCGCAGAAUGGAAUCGUUUGGUGUCCCCGGCAUUUAUGUGGCUUUUCAUUUACAUGCCAACAUUUGUUUCCCUUGGCAGUUGGCAACAAGGCUUGAGGACUAAGGACUGAGGAUUGAGCACCGCAGACCGAAGACCGUGGAGUGGGCAAUGAGUCAUCGGAGGAAGAGUUGGGGACUGCAGAGUGCAGCAGGGCGAACGCAUUGCAGUUGGCUACUUUUCGUAGCAACCUGGUUUCGAUGAUAGAGAUAACUCAACGGAGGAGCCCGCAUGCUGUCCAAUUGAGAGGCCACAAUCUGGGGCACACCAUUCGUGGGAGACUGGGCUUCUGGACCUGGGCCAAGCGGAAGUUUAAGAGCAAUCAUGUAAUGUGCUGAUCCGGAAAUGCGUAAAUCAAAUGAAAUGCAGUGUCGGCGGAGUGGUAAUAUAUGACCCCAAUUUGGCCAUAGUGCCCACAAAUCAAAGCCAAUUUGCCAAAUUACUUCGUGGGGCAAAAUAACCUGAGGGGCGCCAAGGACACCCACAACUCAAUUGCCAGGUGGGCGGCCCUCGAAAACGUCUCCCCGCGGAAAACACGAAUAGAAAGCGCCGCCGGCGAAGACAAAACAAUUUCGUUUGCCGCGAUGUCGCGCAAUUGAAAGUUUUGUCUUCGAUUUGCAUUUGCAUUCAAAAAGGAAAGGAAGCCAAAUUGUGCGAAAUUGUUCGAAAUUGUUGGGGAAUUGCUUUCGCUUUCACACACAAU